CCUACGGGUGGCAGCAGUGAGGAAUAUUGGUCAAUGGCCGGAAGGCUGAACCAGCCAAGCCGCGUGAAGGACGAAGGUGCCAAGCAUUGUAAACUUCUUUUGUCAAGGGACAAAAUCAGGCUCGAGAGCCUGACCGAGGGUACUUGAAGAAAAAGCAUCGGCUAACUCCGUGCCAGCAGCCGCGGUAAUACGGAGGAUGCGAGCGUUAUCCGGAUUUAUUGGGUUUAAAGGGUGCGUAGGCGGACUGUUAAGUCAGCGGUAAAAGCCCGGGGCUCAACCCCGGCGAGCCGUUGAAACUGGGAGUCUUGAGUGGUCGAGAGGUAUGCGGAAUGCGCAGGGUAGCGGUGACAUGCUUAGAUAUUGCGAAGAACUCCGAAUGCGAAGGCAGCAUACCGGCGGCGAUCUGACGCUGAGGGACGAAAGCGUGGGUAGCGAACAGGAUGAGAUACCCGUGUAGUC
rnacentral:rRNA from 1 species